CAUCCAGACUCCUACGGGAGGCAGCAGUGAGGAAUAUUGGUCAAUGGGCGGGAGCCUGAACCAGCCAAGUCGCGUGAGGGAAGACGGUCCUACGGAUUGUAAACCUCUUUUGCCGGGGAGCAACGGGGUCCUUGCGAGGGCCCAAUGAGAGUACCCGGAGAAAAAGCAUCGGCUAACUCCGUGCCAGCAGCCGCGGUAAUACGUAGGUGGCAAGCGUUAUCCGGAUUUACUGGGUGUAAAGGGCGAGUAGGCGGGAUUGCAAGUCAGAUGUGAAAACUAUGGGCUCAACCGAUAGAGUGCAUUUGAAACUGCAGUUCUUGAGUGAUGGAGAGGCAGGCGGAAUUCCCGGUGUAGCGGUGGAAUGCGUAGAUAUCGGGAGGAACACCAGUGGCGAAGGCGGCCUGCUGGACAUUAACUGACGCUGAGGCGCGAAAGCGUGGGGAGCAAACAGGAUUAGAUACCCUAGUA
rnacentral:rRNA from 1 species